rnacentral:rRNA from 1 species
CCUACGGGAGGCUGCAGUGGGGAAUAUUGGACAAUGGGGGCAACCCUGAUCCAGCCAUGCCGCGUGUGUGAAGAAGGCCCUCGGGUUGUAAAGCACUUUCAGUGAGGAAGAACGCCUGGUGGUUAAUACCCAUCAGGAAAGACAUCACUCACAGAAGAAGCACCGGCUAACUCCGUGCCAGCAGCCGCGGUAAUACGGAGGGUGCGAGCGUUAAUCGGAAUUACUGGGCGUAAAGCGCGCGUAGGUGGCUUGAUAAGCCGGUUGUGAAAGCCCCGGGCUCAACCUGGGAACGGCAUCCGGAACUGUCAAGCUAGAGUGCAGGAGAGGAAAGUAGAAUUCCCGGUGUAGCGGUGAAAUGCGUAGAGAUCGGGAGGAAUACCAGUGGCGAAGGCGGCCUUCUGGACUGACUCUGACACUGAGGUGCGAAAGCGUGGGUAGCAAACAGGAUUAGAUACCCCGGUAGUC